CGAAGGUCCCAAGCGUUAUCCGGAUUUAUUGGGUUUAAAGGGUGCGUAGGCGGAUUAUUAAGUCAGUGGUGAAAGCCUUCAGCUUAACUGAAGAACUGCCAUUGAUACUGAUGAUCUUGAGUAUGAUUGAGGUGGGCGGAAUGUGUCAUGUAGCGGUGAAAUGCUUAGAUAUGACACAGAACACCGAUUGCGAAGGCAGCUCACUAAGUCAUAACUGACGCUGAGGCACGAAAGCGUGGGGAGCAAACAGGAUUAGAUACCCUGGUAGUCCACGCCCUAAACGAUGAUCACUCGAUGUGUGCGAUAUACUGUACGCGUCUGAGCGAAAGCAUUAAGUGAUCCACCUGGGGAGUACGACCGCAAGGUUG
rnacentral:rRNA from 1 species